rfam:Karshi virus strain LEIV 2247, complete genome
AGGGGCACACUGGCAACACACCAUUGGUGACGGGAAUUAGGUCGACCCCGCCAGUGGGCUCCUCAAAGACAGAAUGUGAGACCA